UACGUAGGGUGCGAGCGUUAAUCGGAAUUACUGGGCGUAAAGGGCUCGUAGGCGGCCAACUAAGUCAGACGUGAAAUCCCUCGGCUUAACCGGGGAACUGCGUCUGAUACUGGUUGGCUUGAAUCCGGGAGAGGGAUGCAGAAUUCCAGGUGUAGCGGUGAAAUGCGUAGAUAUCUGGAGGAAUACCGGUGGCGAAGGCGGCAUCCUGGACCGGCAUUGACGCUGAUGAGCGAAAGCUAGGGGAGCAAACGGGG
rnacentral:rRNA from 1 species